AUACUUUUGAAUAUCUGUCACGAUUGCAGCGAAGUCUGCCGGAAUUCUAUGUAAAACGUUCUAACAUCUGCGAUGGUAGCGCAGUCUACCGGAUCCCAUGUAAAACAUUCCAAAAUUAAGAACUACUUAUAAAUGAAAAAUUAGUUAAAUACAAAUUUUACCAGUGGAUCAAAUUGUGAAUCUAAUCCAUCCUCGAGUCCCUUUGAACUCACACAAAAAAUUUCAUCAAAAUCGGUCCAGCCGUCUAGAAGGAGUUCAGUGACAUACACACGCACACAAGAUAUAUAAGUACCUCUUUCACGGAACUCCUUUUGAACUUGUUGCCUCUAUGCAUAAAUUAGACAAAACAAGAGUGCGGAAUAUCGUACUUGAAACGUUCGAAAUACUUUGGUCAAAAUUGUCCACAAUACAAGCACAUUGCUGCUGAUUUUUUAAAACUAUGGAAUCUACCAAAUCGUGUUGGAGUGAUUGACGGGAAGCAUAUAGCUAUUAUUCGUCAACAAAACUCAGGCACGUUGUUUUAUAACUAUACAAGGUUCUAUAGUAUAGUUUUAAUGGCAGCCUGUGAUGCUAGGUAUACGUUUACAUCUGACAGCAUUGGUAGCUAUGCCGGACAAAGUGACGGAGGCAUUUUUCAGCAAAUUACGUUUGGGAAAGCACUCCUGGAAAACAGAUUGCCACUACCACCAAGAACUCCUUUAUGGAAUGAAUCCACAGCACAUUUUCCACAUUUUUUGUAGUUAACGCAGCGUUUCCAUUGAAGGAAAACUUAAUGCGACCUUAUCCCGGCUUACAGCUACCACGAAAAAAAGCAAUUUACCAGUUUUCACGAGCUCUUCGAGUAAUAAAAACUUGCUUUGGUGCUGGGUUCUGCACAAUUUGUAAUUCUGAAUGAUCAUAAUCGUUGGUAUUGUCCAGACACAUUUGUAGACACAGAUAGCGCAGAGCACGGAAUACUGCAAGCAGAAUGGCGUGAAGAUUUGGAGGUGCAUUACUUUCAAUAAAUACAUCUCGACGCAUGCAUCUAUUGUAAUACUAAUAGCUCAUUGCGUUUAAGGGACUUUUUGGCAGAGUAUUUUGUAAACCAACGAGCGGUGUCAUUUCAAGAAAAUCAUGUAUACGCUAAGUAGUUUUUUUUGUUUUUUUUUUGUUGUUUUUAAAUUUAAUUUCAACCUAAGAUUAUAAUAAAAAACAUGCGGUGUAUUUUUUGAAUUUACAAUGUAUACAUUAUAUAUAUUUUCGUUAAUUUUAAUAAAACUAUAGAUUAUUCUAUAACUUAAA